AAAGAUCUUUCUAGAAUCGUCCGCGUGGCACCACUUAACCCUUUACUCUCUCUCUCCUAAAACCCUUCUCUCUCUUAUCUUCUCCAACCUCUCGAACAAUCCGCCGCCACCGAAACGUUCACGUUGGUGAGGGACGAGAACGGGAACGUGAAGCUGGAGUGCCCGGCCGUGGGGCGGCAGUUUGCUGCUGAGGAGAUUUCGGCUCAGGCUCAUCUGCAUGCACAAGCGUGUGAAAUGAUUGUGGAAGGGACUGUAGGAAUUGGUCCCAGUCUCAGGGCUGUAGGGCAACAAUUAUGGAAGGUUUUCCGGCAAAAAGUGCAUGCAUCUCAACAUAGCAUGGUGUUGAAGUUGCGGACGCGCUGCUGACAUGGGCACUGGGGUGCUGACACAUAUGGAUUUGGGGCACUUGGCAUAAUCUGGCACGCGCACUUAGGCACAUUUUAAGGCAUCAUUGGGCGCUAGGAGGCGGCCAGAGAUACACCUUGCGCUUUUCCAUUUUGGAACCCCAUGACGCACUGGCAACAAUGAAUCAACUUUGUUGUGGCUCCAAGGCUUGGUGGACAGUAACCCAACACCCAUGUUACAUAGUAAUGAGAGAGAGGGCUUGGUGGACAGCAGGGUUUUAAUGAACGGCCGUUACGUAACAGGUAUUUUAAGGCCUGAUCCCGUUACUAGUGAAAAUAAUAGCUUUGCAAAAAAUUACAUGCGUAUCGGCCAUUACAUAUUGCGUAAUGGCCGUUACACCCCGUUACAGGACCGUUACGCCUAUAGAACACCGAGAACAACUUUUCUUCAAUUUUUUUUCUCAAAACCGGUGUUUUAUCCUCUAUGGAGAAGUCAAAUAAUGCAGAUCAAAUUGCAAAAUCCAUCUCUGGUUCUCAGUAUUCUGCAAAAGUGGAUGUUCAAGUAAAGAAGAACCGAACAAAAGUAAUAGUGCAGAAUGCGGCAAAAUAUAUGUCAAGGGAGAAGCUUGCUUAUAUUGCAAGGUUCAUCAAGAGGUGAAGAACUGAUUCAGUCUUGGUGGAGCCAUCUUUGGAGUUUGUUGUUGGAGUUCGAUCUUUGAGAACGAGGAUGAUGUUCAAAGGGUUGUGUGCAUAUGGGUGAUGUAUUUAUCUGCAGGCGCUCUGUUUGCGCUCUUUGAUGGAUGAUGAACGUUUGAACUUAAGCUCCCUUUGUGCGGAUCAAAAAAAAAAAAAACUUAAGCUCCCUUUGUGAAUUGAUAGACUUCAUAAACUUAUAAUGUUGAUAUUGCCAGUAAACUUAUGACGUACACUUUGUGUGAACUUAUGAUGUGUUUUUUUUUUUUUAAUGUUAUUUAACUCUCAUUUUUUA